UUUACUUCGAAUGCAAAAUAAAGCACCGGACUACACUAGGAACCACCUCCUUGGCCAGCUCAAUCUCCCUUGAGCUGGCUUUUCU
rfam:Rahnella aquatilis CIP 78.65 = ATCC 33071, complete genome.